UACGUAGGGUGCAAGCGUUGUCCGGAAUUAUUGGGCGUAAAGUGUGCGCAGGCGGCCGCGCAAGUCGAGUGUGAAAGCCCCGGGCUUAACUUGGGAAUUGCGCUCGAAACUACGUGGCUAGAGUGUGGCAGAGGGAGGUGGAAUUCCACGUGUAGCGGUGAAAUGCGUAGAGAUGUGGAGGAAUACCGAUGGCGAAGGCAGCCCCCUGGGAUAACACUGACGCUCAUGCACGAAAGCGUGGGGAGCAAACAGG
rnacentral:rRNA from 1 species